GCUGUCGUCAGCUCGUGUCGUGAGAUGUUUGGUUAAGUCCAGCAACGAGCGCAACCCUUAUUGUCUGUUGCCAGUAUUAAGUUAGGCACUCUGACAAGACUGCCGGUGAUAAGCCGGAGGAAGGCGGGGACGACGUCAAGUCAUCAUGGCCCUUACGAGUGGGGCUACAAACGUGCUACAAUGGCAAAGUCAAUGGGCAGCUACUCCGCGAGGAGAUGCUAAUCCUUAAAAUU
rnacentral:rRNA from 1 species